rnacentral:rRNA from 1 species
GACGAACGCUGGCGGUGUGCUUAACACAUGCAAGUCGAACGGUAAGGCCCUUUCGGGGGUACACGAGUGGCGAACGGGUGAGUAACACGUGAGUAACCUGCCCUCAUCUCUGGGAUAACAGUCGGAAACGGUUGCUAAUACUGGAUAUGAGCUUGCAAGGCAUCUUGUGGGUUGGAAAGAUUUUUUUUGGUUGGGGGUGGACUCGCGGCCUAUCAGCUUUUUGGUGAGGUAGUGGGUCACCAAGGCUUCGACGGGUAGCCGGCCUGGGAGGGCGACCGGCCACAUUGGGACUGAGAUACGGCCCAAACUCCUACGGGAGGCAGCAGUGGGGAAUAUUGCACAAUGGACGGAAGUCUGAUGCAGCAACGCCGCGUGCGGGAUGACGGCCUUCGGGUUGUAAACCGCUUUCAAUUGUGACGAAGCUUUUUUGUGACGGUAGCAGUAGAAGAAGCACCGGCUAACUACGUG